rnacentral:rRNA from 1 species
GUCUGUGGUCAUGCCACCCUGAACAAGCCUGAUCCUGUCUGACCUCGGAAGCUAAGCAGGGUCGGGCCUGGUUAGUACUUGAAUGGGAGACCACCUAGGAAGACCAGGUGCUGUAGGUG